GGAAGCUGCUCGGCGUUUCGUGGCUGUGCUGUGUUGGUGUGGAUAUGGAAGUGCUCUUUCCAGAGUCUUCACUGUCCUGCAAGUUAUGGGGAGAGUCUCCCACUGACCUGAGCUGCUUCGUGGCUGGCGCACGAUACCACCAGCACCUGGCUUAAUGCCAAAGUCGGACACCUGCACAGAAGCUGCGAACUCAGCAGAGUUUCCCCUGCGCUUGGGAAGCAGCAGCUCAGCUGUUUUCUCCGAAGACCUGAACAUCCCAUCCUGCGUGUCCCACGGAUCUGGCCCCGACUGCCGGGUCCCUUUUCACGGCCACUUGCACAGGACAGCAGCUGUAGUGCCUGCAGUUGGGUGUAAAUGUCCGUCCUUAGCAUUUUUAAAGCUGCUUUGAAAGGUUUGUACAGAAGAUAUAAAGUCCACUCGACCUUGUGGGUUCAGGGCGAUGGGUUACCGAAAUGUCUGAGCACCAAACUGCCCACGGGAGAGCAGGCAGAGGGACCAGGCUCAGCCCCGUGGGGCAGCUCAGGGUGACCAGCACUGCCUCGAAGCCUCUAUGCCUAUAUAACUCAUUAUCACUGUUCCAAUGUUUAAUUAAUUAUGGGAGCAAUUGCUGCCUGCUUCUCCUGUAGGAGGCAAUGAAUAGUAAAAUGAUGCUUUCCCUCCUCUCCUCUUUCCACUGCCCAAAUAUACAGUUGCUUUCCCCGUUUUGAAAGCUGUUGCUGCAGAUGUGCCUUUUCCUUUGUAUUUUCGAGCCUCUCAGGGUUGUGGUGCUGUGGGUUGACACCCCUGUUUGCAGUCUGGGCUGGGACCCGGUCCCACAGCAGCCCCUCGCUGCCACCAGCUCCGCAGGUUUCCAGUCCGAGCUGAGAUGUUGUGGGAUCAUGCUGGCUGUGCGCUUUGAUGGGGACUCGACAGGAUCAGCCAAAUCUCAAGUCAACUUGGGCACAACAGGCACGACCCCGGCUGAGCGUGGCCCCCCAACAUCCCGUUCCAGCCGCCGUCGGUGAGCCCAGCACUGGGUCAUGAGAGCCUCGCUCAACAAGUGCAGCACCCACAGGGCCAGCGGCUGUGCCGAUCGAUCGGGGCCAGGGCUGGGGCUGUGCCUGCCCUUCCCAGCCACUGUGCCCAGUAUUGACGAGUGGGGCUGAGGCUGGGAAGCAACGGCUGCUGGCGGGGAGCAGGAGGGGACCGCUGCGGGGGUGUCCCCAGGGCUCAUGCUUCCGCUUGGACCGGCCGCCGAGCAUCACCCGAGCAUCCUCUCAGCACGGGGUUGGGAUGACACUGCAUGGAGAAUAUUUGUUAGUAUUGAAUUACCUACAGUAUUUGGAAAGAUGAACUGUUAAUAUAGUGGAAUAGACUUCAGAAGGGCACUGGUGUCCAUCUGGCUGGGCAGUGCAGGGGGAUGUGCCUGCGUGCAGGGGGAUGCCUGCCCCCAGCAGGAAGCUCUGGUGGUUUCUGUAGGAGCGCAGGCAAAGGGCUCGCAGCGCUACUCCGGGUGCAGCAGGCGCCUGCCAGCACAGGAGCUUCAGAGGUGCCUGAGGUUGGUUUUUUAGCAAACCCUGUUUGGCUGCAAGGCUCAUCUGUGCUGUUAGUGGUGUGUAGGAAGGUGGGUGAUGUCAGUGUGGGCCUACAGGAUGGGGGCUGUUCAGCAGCCCUUGGAUAAAUAUCAGAGUGUAGGGUAUGACAGAGAGGGUUUUUUUGUUCCUGUUGUUCUUCGUUCAUGUACAAACUAUGAAACCAGCGUUUUCUUAUCUGGAGCUGUCCCAGGCUUCAGUAUUCAAGCCCUGGCAACCACUAAUCGCCUUAUUUCCCCUCCUUCAGGGAAAUUUUAACUCUUGUCCUCUGCUGCUGAGUAGAUCUUUAAGCCGGUAAUAACGUGAGACAGAGGGAAAUUAACGGCCUUGUCCUGCCCCUUCCCUGGCUGAAAACUGCUAAAGAAUUAAAGAAUUAAAAAGGUAUAAAUUUGCAUUCAAAUUAUAUUCCUGCUGAUGAGGGGUUUGGUUUUAACGGGGUGCGAGGGAAGGUGUAGACACCCUUCCCCUUCCCUCCUCUCCGAGCCCCCGGCAGCUCCUGUGUUUGCGGGAUCAGCCGUGGGGGACGGGAACCCCGUGGUGCUGGGGUUGCCCGGGAUGGGAUCUCAUCAGCCAACAGCCGCUCCGGUGUCUUGUUCCCUCUUAAAUGUCCUAAUCCUCGCCGCUGGCACCUGCAGAGGGGAUGAGGAGGGCUAGUGAGUGGCCUUCCUCUGCUGGCCAGGGAUGAGGCAGUGGCACCGUGCGGGUGCUGCGCCCCGUGUGCUGUGCUGGGGUGUAAAUCCGGGGUGGGGGGGGCCAGGGCCACGGUGGCCUUUGUCUGCCUGUGCCAAACAGAUGUGAACAAACCCGAGUUCGAUUUCCAAGACCGCCUGGGGAAUAUUGCUAACUAAUUAUAGAAAACAGAAGAUGCGUUCCCCUCCUCUUGCAUUUUUUGAUAAACAUUGUCUCCUCUCAACAGCUGAGUAUUUAAUUAGUGUUGAUUGUUGUUCGCGUGUUCAAUAACCACUCAUCAGGAGGGAGGUGUCCGCUGGGGCAGCGUGGCCUGGAGCACAGAGGAGCGGAGGGUGUUCAUAAUUAAGGAUGCAAUUUAUUUGAGUAAGUCAUGUGUACAGCACCCUGUGUUUUAGGUUAAUUUUCAAGGUUAAAGGGUAAAAAAAAAAUGGCUCACAACUUCGUCAAACGAGGAGCGACGGUUGGCAACUCAACACUGAAAGCUGUGCAGGGGGUAUAUAUAUGUUUAUAUGUGUGUGCACACACACACAUGUAUCCAGGCCUCUGUGUGUGUGUGUACAUACGUGGCUGCGCACGUGCUCCCACUAGAGCCCUCCAGACCCCUCAGUGCCUCCCAUCCUCUUUCCCUACAGACUGAGCCUCUUUCCCAAGUUUUGGCUGGAAAACGCUGCCGUGUGGAGUUGGACUUUCCAGC
rnacentral:lncRNA from 1 species